rnacentral:tRNA from 1 species
CCGGUGGCUCAGUUGGUUAGAGCGCCGCCCUGUCACGGCGGAGGCCAGGGGUUCGAGUCCCCUUCG